AUGUGCCUAAAGUUGUUGGGAUUCUUCCUCAAUUCCUUGGAGCAGGUGAAAAGAUGGAGAGCGAUGCUGUACAGAAGGCUCUUAUGACAUUGUUAAGGCAGGAUGUGAAGAGUCCUUCAAUACUGCAGUAAAGGGAUCAUAUUGACAACCUACCAAUUUGCUAUUAAUGAUGUGUUGUCAUGUUGGAUCUGGAAUGCGAUGGACUUAUCAUUGAGAUGUUCACCACUUCUUUAAGACGAUUAGGCAUGACUUUCAGUUCUUUAACACAGAGACUAAGUGAGCUGUUUGAGAAGGAAGUUCGCUACCUCAUGGUGGGUCAUGGUUCUUCUCUCCAUUUCAAUUAACUAAUUAAUGCCCACCUCACCCCCUCUUUGCCAUGCUUAAUUUUAAAAUGAUUGUCAAGUAUUCCUUUUAGUUUUAAAAAUGAUUUUUAAGUAUUCUUUUAAGUUUUAAAAUGA